AUAUCAUUUCAGGGAUCAUCUGGCUCGAGUCCCUAGCUCUCGCCUGGAUAUCCUUCUUGCAGAUCCAAUACAGUGGCCUCUACGCUCUAGUGACCUUUCUGCAUUUCACGAAGCUCUUCAACUCCAUCAUCUUGUUAUAUGGGCUCCUUAAUGAAAAACGUGCACUCGUGGCCAUCUUCCUCAUGACGAUUUGUGUGUGUUUAACAAUUUUUCUUGUCCACUGUGUGAUUUUCGCCACCAUGACCCCCCCGAUUGAGGGCUUGGAGACCGGCCAUUACAUUGCUAUGCCCGUAUACUUUGUUAUAUACGCCUACUUCUUGUGGGUGAUAUACUCGUACUACAUUUAUACCCGGGAUCCACCGCCUCACGUGAGUUCCACAUCCAUUGAGUUUGCCGAAGUGGUUGAUGCUCGAUAAUCGCUAAGGUGAUAAUGAUACGAAUAAAGUGCGUCUG